GACCAGAGGUCAUGUGGAGGAGCACUGACCACAGAUGCAUGGUGAGCCCAGCAGAGAUCAGCAGAACUUCCCAGAUGAGCCUAGCCCAAAGGGCCAACCUGCAAAAUUGCACGGGACCAGAGCUGCCCCUCCCUCUGGGCAGCAGCCCUUUCUCUCUCUCGGUGGAGCAGCAGUAACUGCUUGGAGACAGAAGGCACCGGCAUUUCCCACCUGAGGCUGUCAAAUGUGCCAGACACACAAUGGUUCCUGAACCGUGAGGACCAUCUCUUUGAAGGUGAAGGCCUGGCUGGAGUAAAGAUAAGGUCCAUCUCCUAACUUUCCCUGUCUCAGAAGAUACAGCCUCUGGAGCAGAGGAAAGGAACUGGCCAUUGGGUUACAAGUGUAACAAGCUCGGACCUAUUCCCGCUGGUCCCUGCCAGGAAUGACCUUCCCCCAGGACUUGCAUGGCCAGCUCCUUCUCUUAAUUCAGGUCUUUGCUAAACUAGAUCUCUCCAUCUCUUAUCCUGGUUUAUUUUCUUCAAAACACUUGUCAGCCUCUCAUGCUAUAUUAUUUACUCAUUUGCUUACAUGAGCUUUGAUGAACAUAGGUUUGUUGGA